AGUGAUCUAGGCAUGGCCAGGUUGAAGGUUGGGUAACACCAACUGGAGGUCCGAACCCACACCUGUUGAAAAAGGUCGGGAUGAGUUGUGCCUAGGGGUGAAAGGCCAAUCAAACUCGGAGAUAGCUGGUUCUCUGCGAAAUCUAUUUAGGUAGAGCGUCAUCCGAAUACCCCCGGGGGUAGAGCACUGGAUGGGUAAUGGGGCCCCACAGGCUUACUGAUCCUAACCAAACUCCGAAUACCGGGGAGUACUAGAUGGCAGACAGACGGCGGAUGCUAACGUCCGUCGUCGAGAGGGAAACAACCCUGACCUACAGCUAAGGCCCCCAAUUCAUGGCUAAGUGGGAAAGCAGGUGGGACGACCAAAACAACCAGGAGGUUGGCUUAGAAGCAGCCAUCCUUUAAAGAUAGCGUAACAGCUCACUGGUCUAAACAAGUUGUCCUGCGGCGAAGAUGUAACGGGGCUCAAGCCAUGAGCCGAAGCUUCGGAUGCACAUAGUGCAUGGUAGCAGAGCGUAGUG
rnacentral:rRNA from 1 species